GAUGAACGCUGGCGGCGUGCCUAAUACAUGCAAGUCGAACGGAAAGGCCCUGCUUUUGUGGGGUGCUCGAGUGGCGAACGGGUGAGUAACACGUGAGUAACCUGCCCUUGACUUUGGGAUAACUUCAGGAAACUGGGGCUAAUACCGGAUAGGAGCUCCUGCUGCAUGGUGGGGGUUGGAAAGUUUCGGCGGUUGGGGAUGGACUCGCCGCUUAUCAGCUUGUUGGUGGGGUAGUGGCUUACCAAGGCUUUGACGGGUAGCCGGCCUGAGAGGGUGACCGGCCACAUUGGGACUGAGAUACGGCCCAGACUCCUACGGGAGGCAGCAGUGGGGAAUAUUGCACAAUGGGCGGAAGCCUGAUGCAGCAACGCCGCGUGCGGGAUGACGGCCUUCGGGUUGUAAACCGCUUUCGCCUGUGACGAAGCGUGAGUGACGGUAAUGGGUAAAGAAGCACCGGCUAACUACGUG
rnacentral:rRNA from 1 species